GGUACAACUUUUAUACAUUUUUCUUACCACUUGCCUAUCGCAACUCAUUGCUAUUACUAGGAAAAAUAAAAUAUGGGCGUAAAAGGUAAGUUGAUUGUUUCACUGGAAGUGAAGUGUGGAGGACAUUCGAUUCAUGAUAUUUUCCGUACUAAUACCCAACAUCUACCCAACAUAAGCCCUAGUAGAGUCAAGCAUUUUGAGAUUCAUGAAGGUGAAAAAGGGAAAAUUGGUUCGGUUGCUAGCUGGAAAUAUUACGAAGAUGGAAAAGAAAUGUUUGUUAAGACUGUGAUUGAAGCCAUCGAUCCUCAGACGAACUCAAUCACUUGGAAUGUGAUUGAAGGAAAUUUGUUAGAUUUGUAUAAUUCCUUCACCGUUAUUACAUCAUCUGAACAUGAAUGGAUUACAUAUACACUUGUGUACGAGAAGAAAACUGAAGAUACCCCUUGCUCUCAUGCAUUAUUGUGUUGGUGUGAUCAAGGAUACAGAGAGUCACCUUCUCAAGAAUUAGAAAAUCUAUGAUGUUCAAUGGUCCUUUACAUAAGUAUAUCUAUGUGUUUGUUCUUGUGUGAUGAGUAUUUGAAAAUAUUGGCUAGCCCUAGCUAGCAUGUAAUAAAUAAUAUCAUGUUUGGAGUGUAUAUAUAUAUAUAUAUGCGCCACCUCUAUAUAAUGUCAUGUUUGAAGAAUAUAUAUAUAUAUCUAUGUGUUUGUUCUUGUGUGA